rnacentral:rRNA from 1 species
UACGUAGGUCCCGAGCGUUGUCCGGAUUUAUUGGGCGUAAAGCGAGCGCAGGUGGUUUAUUAAGUCUGGUGUAAAAGGCAGUGGCUCAACCAUUGUAUGCAUUGGAAACUGGUAGACUUGAGUGCAGGAGAGGAGAGUGGAAUUCCAUGUGUAGCGGUGAAAUGCGUAGAUAUAUGGAGGAACACCGGUGGCGAAAGCGGCUCUCUGGCCUGUAACUGACACUGAGGCUCGAAAGCGUGGGAAGCAAACAGG